ACAACUUUCAGCGACGGAUAUCUCGGCUCAGGCACCUAUGAAGGGCGCAGCGAAGCGCGGUAGUCUUUGUGAAUUGCAGAUCUCCGUGAACCAAUGGCCCCCUGAACGCGCAUUGCACUCUUGGGACUUCCUGAGAGUAUGUUUGCUUCAGUGCUUAUU
rnacentral:rRNA from 1 species